GUCUUGGUCUUGGUCUUGGUCUUGGUCUUGGUCUUCUGUUCCUGCCUGCACUGCCUAAAUGCUUGUAGAAGUCACUGGAGAGACCAUCGACCCCUGGUGCCCGUCCCAAUGCCGUCUGGUUGAUGGCGACCAUCAACUCCUCCAGAGUCAGCUCCCGAUCCAGACCAGCCUUCUCGUCCGGGCUAAGUUGAGGAAGCCCCUGCAGAAGGUCCUCGCGGCCCUCCGUGUUGCAGUGGCCUGCACCAAAGAGGCCUCUAACACAGCCUAUUUAAAGGCAACUGAAAUAUCUCUAUCCCACAUUAGAGGUUUGUGCCUCGGAUGGGUGACCAUGACGUGGCGUCUUGUUAGUGUCUGACCCUUUGGGAGUCUUGCACAGGUAUUGUGUGUAUCCAGAUGUGCAAAUGGGAAAGACUGCCAUUGUUUGAGUGGACUGGAUCAACCCUAUUCUGAGGUUCCAGUUCUAUCAACAUCUGAUAACAGAUUUUAUUGACCAAACACAGCUGGUCACUCAUUGCAGCAGUGGGAUGACUCAUUUAGCCUCCAAGUAAAUUCUCUGACUGCAAAACCACCGACCAAGACAUCUCAAACUGGGGUAUCCCCUGUCAGGGAAGAUAGGACUGCACGCUGGAGAAAAGUCACAGUGAUGGAUGGUGUGCACAGCUGCCACACAACGCUAUACUAUUAAUGCCUUAUUGAUUAAAGUAGGUCACUGGCCUCCCGCUAUAUAAGUAGCCACACGCGUUUCUGCCCAGCACCACAACUCCAUGCUACCAUUAACAAUUGACACUAAUUUGUCCCUGAAGGGUUACUUUAGCGUGGUGUUAAAAAUAGUCCCACCUAUGUUGGAGUCUGGAGGCUGGUGUUAGUAUUUAUAAGUUGAAGCUGCUGAUACAGCUGAAAAAUAAUGCUGAUAUUUUGUAUUAAUUUCAGCAUUUGUAUAUUUCCUGUAAAUUUGUGAAAUGCAGUGUCUUUAAAAUUUGGAUUCAGUGUGGCGUUGACAGUCAGUUGGUCUCUGUCCAACACUCAGGACCAGAGAUAGAUACUGUAUCUCAGCAGCUACUGGUCACAUUCUCAUGAAAUUACCCAGAGGAUAAUUCUUAGUAAGACUUUUCAUCUAUGGGAACUUAACCUAUUAUCUUGAGCUCCCCAUAACCUAUACUUUUAAAAACAUAGGAUUUGAUUUGUUUCUACUUUGUAUUUUCACUUGUUUUUACAAACCAAAACUUUUUGUAUGCAGUAGCGCUUUGGAUAUAUGCCCUUAAAAGGGCAUAUAUCCGAAGCGUGUCAUUUUUGAGUACAGUCGAAGGACACUCAACAAUGGAAUAAGUGUAGCUAAUUAUAAUUUUCGUUCACGUUUGUCAUACCUUGUAAACCUCAGUAUCCUUGGGUAGAUAACGAAAUUGUCCGUUUGUUGAGAUACUUUUCUCCUUCAGUUCUUCUAGUACCACAAAAAUGUUUCACGUUAUAGCAAUGUAAGUUCUCAUGUUAUAACAUGAAACAUUUCGUCAUAAAUAGUAUAUUGUUAUAACAAGAAAAGUUUCUCGUUGCGACAUGAUCCUGAUCUGUUUUUCUUUUUCUGGUGUGGCAGCAAUACACUUCCAUAUAUUUGCAUUUUAUUUGUAUUUGUAUUUUAUUUUCAUGUUAUGCAUUUUACUUCAUUUUAUCAAAUUGUCUUAAUUCUCAUUUAAAUCCAUCUUAAUUGAUUCUUUGCCGAUGUAAAGCACUGAAUGGCAUCUGUAUUUGAAGUGUGCUAUAUAAAUAA